CACGUAGGGGGCAAGCGUUGUCCGGAUUUAUUGGGCGUAAAGAGCUCGUAGGUGGCUCAGUCAGUCGGGUGUUAAACCCCCAGGCUCAACCUGGGGACGCCACUCGAUACUGCUGUGGCUAGAGUCCGGUAGGGGAGCGUGGAAUUCCUGGUGUAGCGGUGAAAUGCGCAGAUAUCAGGAGGAACACCAGCGGCGAAGGCGGCGCUCUGGGCCGGUACUGACACUGAGGAGCGAAAGCGUGGGUAGCAAACAG
rnacentral:rRNA from 1 species